AGGAGUACGUGUUGGAGUGUGCCUGGAAAAUUAACCAUGUGGGGAGCAGGAGCAAAUGCUUAAGGCAAAUAUCCACUUGAAAAGCUUUCUGGAAUUUCUGACCGUUCUAGUCAAUCACUAAGCUCCGCUGAGGGUCAUGGACUCAGUGGUUUCCAGUACUGCAUUAAGCGCAAGUGAUGGAGCACAAUCAGCGUGAAGAUCCUGUCUGUCUUCUGUCAUCGGCAGUGCUAUCUCACCCACUUUGACUGUUUUAUGACAGCUGAAGCGCAGAUGAAGCUUUGAAAACACCAUUUUAAAGGAAUGGAAUUGUUGACUUACCAGGGGCUUUACCUCUUCAUGUUUGGAAGGAGUUGAGAAAAGACUACAAACUGACUGUGUCAAGAGAAGCAGAGACUGCAGGAAGAGGCACAACUAUGGCGGAAUCAUGAAAAUUGCCAGAAAAGAUACACAUUGAAGUAACGUUACCAUAAAGUUAACAG